GAUGAACGCUAGCGGCAGGCCUAACACAUGCAAGUCGAGGGGUAUAGUUCUUCGGAACUAGAGACCGGCGCACGGGUGCGUAACGCGUAUGCAAUCUACCUUUUACAGGGGAAUAGCCCAGAGAAAUUUGGAUUAAUGCCCCAUAGUGUUAUAGAAUCGCAUGGUUUUAUAACUAAAGUUCCAACGGUAAAAGAUGAGCAUGCGUCCCAUUAGUUAGUUGGUAAGGUAACGGCUUACCAAGACAAUGAUGGGUAGGGGUCCUGAGAGGGAGAUCCCCCACACUGGUACUGAGACACGGACCAGACUCCUACGGGAGGCAGCAGUGAGGAAUAUUGGACAAUGGGCGGCAAGCCUGAUCCAGCCACUGCCGCGUGCAGGAAGACGGUCCUA
rnacentral:rRNA from 1 species